GAAUCCUCUGCUCUAGACUAGCAUUAGGUUACGCCCGCAACCAUUUCUUGAAAUUUCUAGCUAUGAUUGCUCACUCUCGGUUCUAUUUUCUUUCUCUUUCCGACUUAAAUAGUUGUUAUUUUAAACCGUAGCUAAAGGUGUUAUUUUUAAUCAAAACAGCGUACUCUCUUUCACAUUAUUGGCACUUCCCUUAAUGUCAUGUUUGAAUGAAAUAAAUGUUUAAAUUCAGAUCCUUGUCAUGAAAUUAGAAGUUCGUCUGUUCUGUUAGGGCAUUUACUAUGGCUGCUGUGUUUGAGAAUGGAAAUCAUGUACCUUUGAACAAUUUGUUUUCUAUGUAUGCGUGGCUGCUGUUUAGGCUUUCACCAUCGCUUGUGAUCCAUUCAUUGUCAUUUUAUGGUCUCAAAGUAAAAGAGUGGACUGUUUUGGGAAGUAGUUUGGUGGUCAUGAAAUCAGUCCUGAAGUUUUGGAAGAGGACUUAUCUAGUUGAGGGGAUUAGGUUUUCGGUUAGCAAAAAAUCAAUGGGCUAUUGCUUUUGGGGGAUGUCUGAAUGGUUCUUUGCAUGUUUAUUUUCUCUGUCUUGGCUGCUGUCCAGUGUUUCAAAAGAAAGAGGUCGUUGCAUGAUUAGCAAAUGAGAAAAAUCAUUUAUAUGUGUUCAAAAUAAAGUUAUUUUUUGGGUUUAAAAAAUGGAGAUAAAGGUGCUACAUUCUUGAAAAAAUGGAUGCUACUUGUAGGUUUAGAACAGUGAACAAUGGGCUUGUGUUUUUGUUUUUUUUUUUGUAAAAAAAGUUGGUCCUAUUUUAUCUUAGUUUGCGUUGAGUCAAUAUACUUUUAUAUUUUGUCAUGGUUUCUAAGGUGUUAAAAAAUGAUGAUUAAUUGUUGUUUGGAG
rnacentral:lncRNA from 1 species